AUGUUCUUUAUUAGAUCAGUCAACUCUUUAGAUGAAGUGAGUAUUUUCAUAACCUGCAACACCAUCUGGACUAUCAGUUCUGGAUCAGUGUGAAGAAACUUGUGUGCAAACCCAAUGAAAUGCAUAAUUAAGGAACUGUAGUACAAGUAAUUAGAUAACACAUAAUCCUGCCACAGAGAUGAAUACCCAUCCUCCUUGCUGCCCUCUUUAUCCUUCUUCAAAUCUUUUCCCAACCCAUCCACGAUAGCAUCAAACUCUAUAAAAUCAUCCAAACCCACCUUCCAAGGCUCCAAAUAACUAACCCAAACCAAAAACACCUGUGAAGCAUUCUUCAUAGAAGUCCCCACUGGACAAAAUAGAAAUGUUCUCAAAACAAACCUAUAAACUGGUCUCUGAAUCCACGAAUUCCAUGAGGCACCCACACACAUCCAAUCAUUCACAGAUGCAGCAAAUUCCCUUAAUUUCAAAUCAAAUGAACCUAAAGAAACCCCACUCCAAUUAGAGCUCUCCACACUGUUAGAACCGUCUCUGACCACAGUUGCACUCAAGUUCAAGUAUUUAACCAGUAACUUCACCAUCUCACCUAAAUUAGGUGUUGGUGGAUUCUCACCUAAAACUGACCUAAGUGGAAAUGACAAUCCAAAUGACUUGCAGACAUCAACAGGCAAUGGCGAGAAAUCAUUAUCAACCAACCAAUAGUGCACCAAUGUAUCAACAAGAAACUCUGCUCUCAACAAAAUUGACCCAUCAUUUCCACGUCCAUAAUGCAAAAGCGAGCUACGAUAGGGUUGAUGCAAAUCUAAGUCACGUACAGGAACAAAAGCACGCAGAUAGGAAUAUAAAAGCCGCACAUAGAGAUUAUGCUCCAAUUUCUGUUCAUUUCCACGCUUAGAAUGCGAAAACACAGGAAAUGACGAGGUCCAACUUUCUAGUUUUAGUUUUCUGGUUCUUUUCGUAGGUGUAUUGUUUAAAUUUUCACAAUUGCCUUUGCAAAUAGGGUAAUAAGCAAACCA
rnacentral:misc_RNA from 1 species